ACCAGCCCACACGUACCACACCCACCUCUCCCCUCUCCCCCACCCCUCGCUCCCGAUCUCAUCUCUCCCCUGCAAAAUAUCGUCGCCGCCUGAGCGAGGAAGGACCGCAGCGGAGGGACCAAGGAGAAGGGGGUCCCCUCGCUCGCUUCUGCCGAUGACGAUCAUGCGCACCGCCACCCCCACCGCCGUCGCCGCCGCGGCGAUCCCCAAGUCGCGGGAAACCGGGCGCAACCACCCUCACCUCCGUCGCCGCUGCAGGGAUAUGAAGAGAAGGGCCGCGGGAGCCGGUGAGCUCUCCGAGGAGAGCGCCCGCCCUGAGUCCGACCCCUGCCCUCAGGCCGCCGACCCGCAUGACGUCCUUACAACAUCUCGGCGGUGGCUACAUCGAGGGUGCGUGCGGCUGAGUAGAACAAGUACAAGGAUGAGGGGAGCGCCAACAACCCGUACUUCAGGACAUGAUGUCAAAGGAAUUCAUUAAAUUCACUCUUCAUUACAUUGCGGAUUUGGAUAUCCCAAUUAAAAGGUCAGUGCAGAGUCAUGUUCGAUAAUUCCCUCUAGCCCUUUACUAACCGAGUAAAUGUUUGCUCACGGGCACAUUCAUAGAAUUCAGGAGUGGAAUGAUCAAUGUGUCGCCUAUAGGGAGGAACUGUAGUCAAGAAGAACGUGAUGAUUUUGAGAAGUAUGAUAAGGUACAUAACGUUCGGCCUAAAAUGGUGUUAGUGCUUCGUAAAAAGUUCGCACACCUGAACCUGACUUUUUCUAUUGGGGGG